rnacentral:rRNA from 1 species
AUUGAACGCUGGCGGCAUGCCUUACACAUGCAAGUCGAACGGUAACAGGUCUUCGGAUGCUGACGAGUGGCGAACGGGUGAGUAAUGCAUCGGAACGUGCCCAGUUGUGGGGGAUAACUGCUCGAAAGAGCAGCUAAUACCGCAUACGACCUGAGGGUGAAAGCGGGGGAUCGCAAGACCUCGCGCAAUUGGAGCGGCCGAUGUCAGAUUAGGUAGUUGGUGGGGUAAAGGCCUACCAAGCCGACGAUCUGUAGUUGGUCUGAGAGGACGACCAGCCAAACUGGGACUGAGACACGGCCCAGACUCCUACGGGAGGCAGCAGUGGGGAAUUUUGGACAAUGGGCGCAAGCCUGAUCCAGCAAUGCCGCGUGCAGGAAGAGGGCCUUCGGGUUGUAAACUGCUUUUGUCAGGGAAGAAAUCCUCUGGGUUAAUACCCCGGGGGGAUGACGGUACCUGAAGAAUAAGCACCGGCUAACUACGUGCCAGCAGCCGCGGUAACAC